UACAGAGGUCUCAAGCGUUGUUCGGAUUCAUUGGGCGUAAAGGGUGUGUAGGUGGCGCGCUAAGUCGGGUGUGAAAUUUCGGAGCUUAACUCCGAAACUGCAUUCGAUACUGGCGUGCUUGAGGACUGGAGAGGAGACUGGAAUUCAUGGUGUAGCAGUGAAAUGCGUAGAGAUCAUGAGGAAGACCAGUGGCGAAGGCAGCUUGCUGGGACGGUACUGACGCUGAGGCGCGAAAGCGUGGGGAGCAAACAGG
rnacentral:rRNA from 1 species